rnacentral:rRNA from 1 species
AGAGUUUGAUCCUGGCUCAGGACGAACGCUGGCGGCGCGCCUAACACAUGCAAGUCGAGCGAGAACCAGGGCUUGCCCUGGGGACAGCGGCGAACGGGUGCGUAACACGUGAGCAACCUGCCCCGAAGACCGGGACAAGCCGGGGAAACCUGGUCUAAUACCGGAUACCCUCACCGGAUCGCAUGGUCCGGCGAGGAAAUGGAUUCCGCUUCGGGAUGGGCUCGCGGUCUAUCAGCUUGUUGGUGGGGUAACGGCCUACCAAGGCGACGACGGAUAGCUGGUCUGAGAGGACGAUCAGCCACACUGGGACUGAGACACGGCCCAGACUCCUACGGGAGGCAGCAGUGGGGAAUCUUGCGCAAUGAGGGAAACCUUGACGCAGCGACGCCGCGUGCGGGAUGAAGGCCUUCGGGUUGUAAACCGCUUUCAGCAGGGACGAAAUUGACGGUACCGGUGGAAGAAGCCCCGGCUAACUUCGUGCCAGCCGCCGCGGUAAUUC